UUUACAACAAAACGAAAGGAAAUGAAUUUAAACAUUAGAAACAAAAGAAAGAAAACACCUAAACGCUCCAACGAUCCAAGUUGGACAACAAGCACGUCCAAGCACUUUCCUUCCCUUCCUUUGCUACGGCACAAGGUGUUGGUGAAUGUUUGAAGGUUUGUUUGUAUGGAGGAAUGGAUGUGAAGAUGAAUGGAUGUGUUUGGAUGAAGGUUGUGUUGAAAUGGGAGUGAAUGAUCUAACCAAGUAUGAACUCCAUUUAUGUUACACACACUUCCUUUUAUAGAGGAAGUGCAAGGCAAAGUCUGGAUAAAAUGGAUUGGUGUUGAAAUGAUUGAAAGGUGAAAGUGAAGUAAUGAUGCAAAGCAUGGGUAAAAUGGAGUGGUGUUGAAAUGAUUCAAAGGUGAAAGUGAAGUAAUGAUGCAAACCAUGGGUAAAAUAGAGUGGUGUUGAAAUGAUUGAAAGGUGAAAGUGAAGUAAUGAUGCAAAGCAUGGGUAAAAUGGAGUGGUGUUGAAAUGAUUCAAAGGUGAAAGUGAAUUGAUGAUUGAUGCAAGAAUUAAACAUGGAUGGAGUGCAUGGCAAAGGUUUGUUAUGGUACAAGGAACCCUUAAUUU
rnacentral:lncRNA from 1 species